UUGGAGGGCAAGUCUGGUGCCAGCAGCCGCGGUAAUUCCAGCUCCAAUAGCGUAUAUUAAAGUUGUUGCAGUCAAAAAGCUCGUAGUUGAAUUUCGGGAUCGGAUUGUCGGUCGUGCCUCGGUACGCACUGGCAUUAUUGGUUCCUACCUUCUGAAGAACCGCGAUGUCAUUAAUUUGGUGUCGUGGGGAAUCAGGACUGUUACUUUGAAAAAAUUAGAGUGUUUAAAGCAGGCUUACGCUUGAAUACAUUAGCAUGGAAUAAUGAAAUAGGACGUUUGAUUCUAUUUAGUUGGUUUCUAGGAUUGACGUAAUGAUUAAUAGGGAUAGUUGGGGGCAUUAGUAUUCAAUUGUCAGAGGUGAAAUUCUUGGAUUUAUUGAAGACUAACUACUGCGAAAGCAUUUGCCAAGGAUGUUUUCAUUAAUCAAGAACGAAAGUUAGGGGAUCGAAGACGAUCAGAUACCGUCGUAGUCUUAACCAUAAACUAUGCCGACUAGGGAUCAGAUGAUGUUAAUUUUUUAAUGACUCAUUCGGCGCCUUACGGAAAC
rnacentral:rRNA from 1 species